AAACACAUUCACACCAGCGCAGAGUGGGUAAAAUAAUCAUAUGAAGUCAUGAACUGUGGAAACACAUUCACACCAAUGCAGACGAGGGUAAAAUCACUUGGGUACUUUCUGGUGGUUUUAAAAUAACUUUGAAUAUAUUGAAAUAUUUAAUACUAAAAUAAUAUGUCAAUGAAAUAAUUUAACUGAACUGAAUUUAACUUUUAAAAACAUUUGAUAAUAAAAUUCAUUUUAUUCUGAAAAAUCAUGCUAUCAACUCAACUUAUAAAAUACGUAACUUCAAAAUUAAAUAAAU
rnacentral:lncRNA from 1 species